AUGGAAUAUUGUGAAACAAAAAUUGAAAUGGAAGAGCAUUUUCCCGUGGAAUAUCCAUGGAAAUUGAUCGUGAAUAUAAAAUCUUUUGUAUUUACCAUGGCGACGCGGGGCAGGGUGAAGUUGGCGUUGGUGUCCCUGAGCGAGCGGCCGCGACAAUGGGUGGCGUGGGGCGCUCAUGGCGGAAGUGACGCGGGUUGGGGUGAAGAUGGCAUUGGCAUCCCCGAGCGAGCGGCUCCGAGAAAGGGUGCGUGGGGUGCUCAUGGCGGACAGUGGGAAGGAUUUGAACUAGGAUGA
rnacentral:rRNA from 1 species